rnacentral:misc_RNA from 1 species
GAUGAAGAACGUAGCGAAAUGCGAUACUUGGUGUGAAUUGCAGAAUCCCGUGAACCAUCGAGUCUUUGAACGCAAGUUGUGCCCGAAGCCACUAGGCCGAGGGCACGCCUGCCUGGGUGUCACACGUCGUUGCCCCCCCCCCAUCUACUCCUUCGGGAUUGCGGGGGGCGGAUGAUGGCCUCCCGUGCGCCUAGCCGCGCGGUUGGCAUAAAUACCAAGUCCUCGGCGACGCACGCCACGACAAUCGGUGGUUGCGAAACCUCGGUUGCCCGUCGUGUGCGUUCGUCGCGCAUCGAGGGCUCGAAAAAAUGCUCGGCUCCGGCUCGGCUUUUAACGCGACCCCAGGUCAGGCGGGGUUACCCGCUGAAUUUAAGCAUAUCAAUAAGCGGAGGA